rnacentral:lncRNA from 1 species
AUAAAUUAAACUUUAAACGUUAAUCCAUUAAACCCUAAAAGAACAAGUACCCUUGAAGGAAACCCUCCUAAUCUCCUUUCUGAAACCCUCAUUAUUUUCCAAUGGAGACCAAGAAAGUGAGCACUGCAAUUAUGGUAAUGAUGCUUGUGAUGGUAGCAUCAAUGGAGGUCGGAGAGGCCUGGGAGUGGAAGUGGGAAUGGCCAUUUCAAUCUAUUUAUAAACAGCACGAAAAGUGUUAUUCAAAAUGCUAUAAAGAGUGCAUGGGUUUUCAGAAAAUAGCGACAGCUAAACUCUGCAAGGGCAGAUGCACGACGGUUUGUCGCGGAGCGGGUAGGAGAAUCGACGACCAUAAAAAUUAAUUUCUUUCCCAAGAGAAAAUAGGAGGAGGAGUAGAAAGUGAAGGAGGGGUUUCUAAUUGUGGUAUAUUUGUUCUUUUUAUUAAAUAUCUAUAUGCAUGUAGCUAUAUGUGUAUUUAUUAAAUAAAUAAAUAAAACAAAAAAAAAAAAAAAGAAAAGCUUCUUGUGUCCAUACAUAAAAUAUUUUUUUUGAUCAAAAUAUCUUAUAUCGUGUUGUUGCAAUUACACCA